rnacentral:rRNA from 1 species
GAUGAACGCUAGCUACAGGCUUAACACAUGCAAGUCGAGGGGUAACAAGAGAAAAGCUUGCUUUUCUUGUUGACGACCGGCGCACGGGUGAGUAACGCGUAUCCAACCUGCCUAUAACUAGGGAAUAACCUUGCGAAAGUAAGACUAAUACCCUAUGAUUUCCUUUGAUGACAUCAGAUUAGGAAUAAAGAUUUAUCGGUUAUAGAUGGGGAUGCGUCUGAUUAGCUUGUUGGCGGGGUAACGGCCCACCAAGGCAACGAUCAGUAGGGGUUCUUAGAGGAAGAUCCCACACAUUCGAACUGAGACACCGUCCAAACUCCUACGGGAGGCAGAAGUGAGGAAUAUUGGUCAAUGGGCGGAAGCCUGAAUCAGCCAAGUAGCGUGCAGGAUGGCGGCCCUAUGGGUUGUAAACUGCUUUUAUACAGGAAUAAAGUUAGCCACGUGUGGUUAUUUGUAGGUACUGUAUGAAUAAGGACCGGCUAAUUCCGUGCCAGCCGCCGCUGUAA